CCUGGCUCAGAUUGAACGCUGGCGGCAUGCCUAACACAUGCAAGUCGAACGGUAGCAUGACUCAGCUUGCUGAGUUGAUGACGAGUGGCGAACGGGUGAGUAACGCGUAGGAAUAUACCUUAGAGAGGGGGACAACUUGGGGAAACUCAAGCUAAUACCGCAUACAUUCUUCGGAAUAAAGCUGGGGACCGCAAGGCCUGGCGCUUUAAGAUUAGCCU
rnacentral:rRNA from 1 species